rnacentral:rRNA from 1 species
ACAUAUGACCAUACCCACAGGAAAACACGGCAUCACAUCCGCUCUGUCAAAGUUAGGCCAGUGAAGGCCAGGUCAGUACUCAGGUCGGUGACGACCGAGGUAUCCAUAGUAUUGCGUGCU